rnacentral:rRNA from 1 species
AUUGAACGCUGGCGGCAGGCCUAACACAUGCAAGUCGAGCGGCAGCGGGAAGUAGCUUGCUACUUUGCCGGCGAGCGGCGGACGGGUGAGUAAUGUCUGGGAAACUGCCUGAUGGAGGGGGAUAACUACUGGAAACGGUAGCUAAUACCGCAUAACGUCGCAAGACCAAAGAGGGGGACCUUCGGGCCUCUUGCCAUCAGAUGUGCCCAGAUGGGAUUAGCUAGGAGGUGGGGUAAUGGCUCACCUAGGCGACGAUCCCUAGCUGGUCUGAGAGGAUGACCAGCCACACUGGAACUGAGACACGGUCCAGACUCCGACGGGAGGCAGCAGUGGGUAAUAUUGCACAGUGGGCGCAAGCCUGAUGCAGCCAUGCCGCGUGUAUGAAGAAGGCCUUCGGGUUGUAAGGUACUUUCAGCGGGGAGGAAGGUGUUGAGGUUAAUAACCUCAGCAAUUGACGUUACCCGCAGAAGAAGCACCGGCUAACUCCGUGCCAGCAGCCGCUGUAA